rnacentral:lncRNA from 1 species
CGCGCGGGGACCGUCUCUGUGUCCCCUCGUGGGCCAGGAGGACGUGGCGCGGCCCGGUUUGUGGACUGCGGGAGUAUCCGACCCGCCUCUGUGGGUGUCACCGGGUGUCGGCCGGCGCGCGUGGGCGUGUCCUCCCGGUCCACGCGUGUUCUCUCCAUCACUGUCGCCUUUCGUUCGGGACGACGGUUUCAGAAAUGGAGCCAUGGAGGUGAUGCGUUUGAUGUUUGUAUAAUACAUUUGGAUGUUUUCAGCUAAGUUCACUUCCUAGCUGUGAAUUCUUCCAAAUGUUGGCUGACAUUUGCCCUUGCACAUCCCAAGGCUCAUCAGCAAGUGAGUGUCUGCGCAUGCUGGGUGUGCUGGUGUGUGAAGUAACCCAAAAAUAACAUUCAGUUUGGCUUUACCAAGACAUUUUUAUUGGUAAUAGGGACUGCAUGCAGAAUGCUGAAAAUGCCACUUGAGG